UACAGAGGUCUCAAGCGUUGUUCGGAUUCAUUGGGCGUAAAGGGUGCGUAGGCGGCGCGGUAAGUCGGGUGUGAAAUCUCGGGAGCUUAACUCCGAAACUGCAUUCGAUACUGCCGUGCUUGAGGACUGGAGAGGAGACUGGAAUUUACGGUGUAGCGGUGAAAUGCGUAGAUAUCGUAAGGAAGACCAGUGGCGAAGGCGGGUCUCUGGACAGUUCCUGACGCUGAGGAGCGAAAGCGUGGGGAGCGAACAGG
rnacentral:rRNA from 1 species